GAAAGAGGCGUGCGGGAUCAGAGCACCUUCCCGGCCUCUUCCAGAUUUGUCUUUGUUCGGGGUCCGCGGCUUCCUAUAUAUAUCCAUCCGUGGGAGCUUUCGAACUCUUCUUGGUAAUUCCUUGGAGCGUCGAACGAGAAUUCGAGCAUCGACCGAGAAUUGAUGAUGCCACGAUGCGUUUGGUGGUUGGGUUCUCGGCGAUCGAAUGAUUUGGUUGGUGCAUGUAGAUACGGAUUUGGUUGUAUAACCAGUUUCUUCUCAUCCAGAACCAGAUAUGAAUGCAGUUCCAGUCGUGAUAUUGCAAGCUGUUACAGGACAGUGGCAUGUGCAACUUCAUGUGCUGCUUGGUCUGAACCACCACCGAAAGAUAAUGCCUCUGCUAAUAUGCUAACUGAUUCUUUUGGGAGAUUCCACAACUAUUUGAGGAUCUCGUUGACAGAACGCUGCAACCUUAGGUGUCAAUACUGUAUGCCAGCUGAAGGCGUCGAGCUGACACCCAGUUCUGAGCUCCUAACUCAUGAUGAAAUCAUUCGACUUGCAGACCUUUUUGUCAGUGAAGGGGUGGAUAAGAUCAGGUUGACUGGGGGAGAGCCGACCAUUAGGAAGGACAUUGAAGAGAUAUGUUUGCAUCUUUCCAACUUGAAAGGGCUAAAAACACUUGCUAUGACCACUAAUGGGGUUGUGCUCUCAAAGAAACUUCCCAAACUGAAAGAAUGUGGGCUCAGUGCAAUAAACAUUAGUUUGGAUACAUUAGUUCCGGCAAAAUUUGAGUUCAUGACUAGGCGUAAAGGGCAUGGAAGGGUUAUGGAAUCAAUAAAUGCUGCUAUUGAGCUGGGAUAUAAUCCUGUUAAAGUGAAUUGCGUUGUAAUGCGUGGAAUAAAUGAUGAUGAGAUUUGUGACUUUGUCGAGUUGACAAGAGAGAAGCCAAUCAAUGUCCGAUUUAUUGAGUUCAUGCCAUUUGAUGGAAAUGUUUGGAAUAUAAAAAAGCUGGUUUCGUAUGCAGAGAUGUUGGAUAGAGUGGUAAGUUUGUGUGGAGCAGCGGCAACGAUUCAAGGAUGUAAAGAGGCUUCGAGAUCAUGCUACAGAUACAGCAAAGAAUUUCAAGAUAGACGGACAUUGUGGAACUGUCUCCUUUAUUACAUCAAUGACCGAACAUUUUUGUUCUGGUUGCAAUAGAUUGCGGCUCUUAGCUGAUGGGAACUUUAAAGUAUGUCUUUUUGGUCCAUCAGAGGUAAGUUUAAGAGAUCCUCUACGAGCUGGUCAUGAUGAUCUUGUAUUAAAGGAAAUAAUCGGGGCUGCGGUAAAGAGGAAGAAAGCUGCACAUGCCGGGAUGUUUGACAUAGCAAAGACAGCAAAUAGGCCAAUGAUACAUAUUGGUGGCUGAGAAAAAGAAUAGUGAAGGAUCAAUUUGAUACUUUGAAUUGGUUUGUGGGGUUUCAAAAGUAGAACAAGUUUUGUCAUCUCCAGGCUUAACUUUGGAAGUGAAUUUCAGCAUUAUUGCAUAUGUAUCUGAGUAGAAGCAUCCUUGCUAAUGUCAUUUAUUUGUGUCAUGCCGAUUAUUUUCUUUAUUACAAGGAUGUAACUUUUUUAUAUGUUUCAUAGGGAAUGAACAGAGUUUCUCUACAAAUAUCAUUUUCUAGUUUUUGUAUUUGUCAUUGAAGAUGAUGAUAGCACAACGCCCUGUUGUAGCAUCAGUUCUAUACAAUUGUAUGAUGCUUCCAUAUUGACUAUUGGAUGUGCUUCUUUUUCUGCUUAUGGGAGAAUUAAUAUAUUCA